GGCCGUGGCCUGCUGGGGCUGCUACAUGUAAUACGGGCAUGGAGGAUUCGUUGGACGAAGAUUGGCUGCGCCACUCGCCCCCUCCUGCCCUUGAACUUCCUCCUCAACAUCUUCUCUCUCUUUUGAUGAUCAGUCCUGUCUGCUGGUCUGGUGGCGCACUUGGAGCAAGGAACACAGUUUCUGCCAUCCACGUUUUCCCUCCCUUGGUUUCUUCAUUGUUUGCAGUAGUGAUUCAGCUUUUCUAAGGCUUGCUACAUGUAUCUGGAAUUGGUGACACAUAUAACUGGGAUGGUUCAGUCGGUUAGGUAAUGAUGCUUCAUUGUCUGCAGUAGUGAUUCUAAAUUAGAUUACUUUUUUUGCUGCAGGUACAACACAUGUUUUGGGUUAUUUUGCAGGCUCUUCCUGCAUUCCUUUUUUGGCAGGAGAUCCUUGGUGAUGAUUCCUGUAUUACUCUUAGUGACAACUGAAAAUUCAAGGAAAAUGUUAACUUAAAGCAUGAUGUUUCCAGGUCCUAUUUACUUAAGCAUAAACCUUUCCUAUGCUUUCUCCUUUCU